rnacentral:ribozyme from 1 species
AAUUGAAAAAAAAAAAAAAAAAUGAAAAAAAAAAAAUAAAAAAAUGCAGCUCAUGAGCUAAUAUAAUAAGUUGUGUUUUCAGCUAUCAUCAUCCUUCAUUCAUUCAUUCAUUCAUUCAUUCUCUCAUUCUGUUUUAUAUGCGAAGAUUUGAGUUGUCGAGGAUUCCAAAAACAAACUCAAAGGA